UUUAAAGAAAAAUAAUUUUAGAUUUAGCCUGCCCAAUGAUGAAUUUAAUGGCCGCAGUAUUUUGACUGUGCAAAGGUAGCAUAAUCAUUAGUUUUUUAAUUGAAAGCUGGAAUGAAGGGUUGGAUGAAAAAAUUACUGUUUUAAUAUUAAUUAUUAAAAUUUUAUUUUUAAGUUAAAAAGCUUAAAUAAUAUUAAAAGACGAGAAGACCCUAUAGAGUUUAAUUAAUUAAUUUAAAUUAAUAAUUUAGUAUUAAUAUAAUAGUUUAAUUAAAUAAUUUAGUUGGGGUGAUUAAAAAAUUUAUUUAACUUUUUUUUUUAAUUUUAUAUUAAUAUAUAAAUAAUUGAUCCUAUUUUUUAGAUUAAAAGUAUAAAUUACCUUAGGGAUAACAGCGUAAUUUUACUAGAGAGUUCAAAUUGAAAGUAAAGAUUGCGACCUCGAUGUUGGAUUAAAA
rnacentral:rRNA from 1 species